CAAUGUUCCAAGGGUCAUUCGUGAGCUUGUAGAUCAUGAUGACAACCACACAAAACACUGUGGUUUUUAACACCUUUGGACCUAUAAUAAAAACUAGAUGGUUGAUCUUCUGACAAGUCUAGGCAAAAGCGACUAGAGGUCUUGACACGUUUGCAGCCUUUUUGUACUUUUAUUCCAAGAAGAAAUUCUUCUUCAAGAUAGAAAUAGAUAGCAAGAGCACAUGAGGGUACAUAUGUCCUAACUCACAAGAUACUGAUCAUUCGGAAUUUAAGAUAAGGAAAAGUGAGUAUAAGCAAUACUUAUUUCUAGAAUACACACAGAUUAAUAUUUCAAAAUCAUAGAAAGCAUAAUAAUAUGUUGAAUACAUGAUCUUAAGAAAAGUAAUAUUGAAAUAAAUCAUGAAGAAUAAUUAAUAAAACAAUUCAAUUCAUGAGUUCUUAUAUAAAUAUGUGAAGUCUUAAGUCGAUUCAUCAUAUAUUAUCACUUGUAACUUUAAAUACAAAGUACCAAACACACACUUAAAGUCACCUGUGAUGAUAUUUAACUCUUGGUUUCUUGUUAAGAAUAUAGCAUAUGAUAACUUAUUAAAAAAGAUAUAUUAUAUCUUAUAUUAAUUUAUUUAUUUAUUUCUCUAUUAAAUAGUCUUAAGCUCAGCCCCCUUCUGAUGGAGAGUUUAUAAAGAGCAGCAGACUUCACUCUUCUCACAGUCAUGGACUUUUCUGCACAGGAAUAAAAUCAGGUACUUUUUUACUUUAAUUAUAAUUAAUACCAUUCCAGUUGUUGUUGUUUUUCUAAUCUUAACUUUUUCUUACCUUUAUCCUAUUUAUCUUCCAUCACUAUGAAAUACUGACCAAAGUUUAAUGUUUUAAUUUAAGUAUCCAGAACCAUGGGUGUCAACGUUUCAGUAGUAAAUCAAACUCCUUACACCUGGUACUUUGACACCCAGGACAAAAGAGGGUAUAAACGCAUCGGUCCUCGCUGCAGGACAUCCUAUGAAGAGGCUCUGGCAAUCCAUCGCUACAUCUACAUCAGAUAUAAAAAUCACUCAUGGAAUAGUUUUUCAUAUGAGUUUAACACCCAUAAACGUAAAGGCGACACGUCUUUUAUCCUAAAAGAAACCCUCGACCGUUCCCAGAUUCAGUUGGACUGCACCUCUGAGGGCAGCACUCAUUACUGUCCCAACUACGGUAAGUUCCUGCAAACAUGUCAUUUCUGGACUACUCUGUACAACCAAAAGUAUGUGACCCCCCCUACCAUCACAGCACAAUGUGCUUGUUCAGCAUCCCAUUCAAAAUUUAUUUUGCCUUUGCUGUUAUAAAAACAGAGAAAAAUCCAGCAACAUUUAUGGUGAAGAAAAGUUGUAUUAUAGGUCGAAAACUCCCACACGUUUUUCAUCUUUUAAUUUUCAAGAUACAGUAGAUAGACAACCAGAAUGGGUAAUACCGCCGCAGGGCCGCGGCGUUAACUGCAAGUCGCGUGUUAAAAUCAUUCGUGAAACUACCGCCAGGUGGCGCAAAGGGAUAGAUUGCAAACUGAAUGUAAUUGUAAAAUGUUAGUUUGUAAACAGAGAUGAAGGGCAGAUGUAAAACAACAAUAACAUUAUAAUAUACAUAAUAACAUAUUUAAAAGCCAUAGGCUUUUAAGAAAAUAAAAAAAUAGGAUAGUCUUAGGCUAAAGUCUAC
ensembl:lncRNA